AUUAUAUUCUAUGAAAUUAUCAAAUAUUAAAAUACAAAUUCUAUGUGAUACUUGGAAGAUCCUGCAGUUAAUGUACUAAAACAAUGACUGCCGUUCAAUGAGAAGGUGAAGGGGAAGAUGGACAAUGUGUGUUUUCUUUGAGCAAUAUCCCUUAUGUCAUAUUGAAUUUAAAAAAUAUAUGAAUCAGAAAAAGAUGCCCUCCAGGAUUGUGGUGUAGUGUUAGUCAUAGAUACUGAAGAAACCUGGCCUGAAUCAGAAAAAGAUGUCCUCCAGGAUUGUGGUGUAGUGUUAGUCAUAGAUACUGAAGAAACCUGGCCUGAAUCAGAAAAAGAUGUCCUCCAGGAUUGUGGUGUAGUGUUAGUCAUAGAUACUGAAGAAACACAGCCAUGUUUUACACAUCUACGAGUUACCAAUUAUAAUUCUUUAUCCUCUUGUAUUAAACAAGUGAUGGAACAACAUAGAGGACAUAACCUACUUUCCAGUGAGCUUUAUAAAUCACAGUUACGUAAACAAGUUAGUCUGAUCUGUUCAG